rnacentral:snRNA from 1 species
AGGGCCUUCGCCGCACGUGGCGACCGAUCCCUUCGUGGUCGGACGGAAUGGUGAUCAAGACAUUCCGAAGGUAAAAUCUUUGUCCUGUCCUGUGAAUCUGAACUGAACUGUUUUCUAGGUCAUAUUGCUGCG